CACGUAGGGCGCAAGCGUUGUCCGGAAUUAUUGGGCGUAAAGAGCUCGUAGGCGGUCUGUUACGUCUGCUGUGAAAACCCAGGGCUUAACCCUGGGCUUGCAGUGGAUACGGGCAGACUAGAGGCAGGUAGGGGAGAAUGGAAUUCCCGGUGUAGCGGUGAAAUGCGCAGAUAUCGGGAGGAACACCGGUGGCGAAGGCGGUUCUCUGGGCAAUUCCUGACGCUGAGGCGCGAAAGCGUGGGGAGCAAACGGG
rnacentral:rRNA from 1 species